UACUGAUAUCUAUUGUAUUACUGUUACAUAGUUCACUCAUUACUCCUUUCUUCCCUCCCUCAGUUUGACAAAAGAAGAAACUGAAGCCCAGAGAAAUUACAACUUGGUCAAAGUUACAAAUGGAGUUGAACAAGAGCAGGAAUGAGAGUUACAUCAUCUGCCCAAAUAAAUUCUGUAACUAGACUUAGUGCUCUUAUGUGCUCAAUGAAAAUGAGGGGAUCUAGGCUAUGGAGGGCAGGAGAGGUCAGACAGAGGAAGGCAAGAAAGUUUGUCUAUAUCCACUAAGAUUCCCAGGUGACCCCCUAGCCCUUUCAAUUCUUCAUUUCUAUGGCAAAUCUCACUUCACAAAACGCAUGCUUCCAUUUGAUUCCUGCUGUAAAUUCACCAAAAAUAGGGUAAGGAAAAGGGAACUGGGAAAGUGAUGCAACUGAUCACAGACAGAAGAGGACCUAUACCCCAAAGCUCCCAGCCUCUAAAAUCAAACAGCCUAAGACUAAAGUUAGGGAGUAGGAAGACAUCAAAGAGACAUCUAAGACCUUUGGACUCGAAUGCGGACCACCGGGCAAGAAGCUGGGACACCACUCUACAAGAGGAAGACAGAAAUCUCAGAAUAUUGUAAGCUGGCAGGGGGAGUGCUGCAGAGCUCAAGGAACCAAAGAAAAUGAGUUUUAAGGUGGAAAGGAAGCACCAAAGUCCAGGGCUGGCUCUUUCCUGACUUUCAUAUUCCUGCCCAGCAUGAACGGACCAGUGCCCCUUUCUUUGUUAAUCAGUGCUAUUGCAGAGAGGGGCCGAUGGAGAGAUAAACAGCCUGGGCAUCCAGAGGUCUGUGUUCUAAUUCCUGCUCCCCCAAGUCAGUGAUUUUGAUGCUAGUUGCCCCUUUUUUGUUUCAAGGGG
rnacentral:lncRNA from 1 species